CCACCCUAACUUGUGCUUAUGUUUUGUCUUAACCAUAGAGGGAUGCGAUGUUAGGUUUCAAUCGGCAAGGAUGACCUCUAGAGCCAUUGGAACUGCAUACUAUUUGUAUGAUCAUGUUGAACCGGUGAGUCUGGGACUAAACAUCUCGUUCAUCAGCCAAUUGAUGGAGCACCCAGACCUCACCAGGCAUGUCGAUGAGGUGGUAGAACGAGGUAAGUCAGUAAUGCUCACCAUUCACCACUCAUCAGAACAAAUAGAAGCGGUCCUCUAAAGAGUGCAGAGGACAGCGGCUAUAAGUAAUUGGUGGAAAUCUCUGUUUGCUGACCCCACCAAGGUUGCUGAAUCCUGGCAUUUAUUGGUACAUCCUUUUACGAUCUUGUUUUCAUUGCAAUGUGUUAUGUUUGUAUUGCAUUUGUCGCAUUACAGGUGGGCUCGCAACAAUUUCAGGAAGGUAGACAAGAAAUCCAGGUGUGCCACCCUAACUGGGUGUCAGCAAGGUGUGUUGGCAUCAGAUCCCUGUGUUAAAAAAGGGAAUCCUUGCUGACAAGGAGGGGACUCUAGGAGGGAGAUUUCUGUUUUGGCAUUAAUACCCUCAUGCCAUCUUGAAAUUCUGGCAACAACAACUAGGAAUCCAUCUUGGCUGCCCAUCUUCCGCCUCCUCAGGUGUAGUUGUAGCCCAUAGGAUUACUUUGCUAGCUAUUGUAUCCUACUCAUCCAGCCAGCCGUAUCAAAUAAUAUGUUUCUCUUUCUGAAUUAAUCCAUUUUAUUCUUAUAUUUUAUCAGUAUUAAUUCCUAUGAAUUUAGGAUGUGUUGAGGCAUAUGAUAUGUGUUUCUUAAUAAUUAUACAUAGAAUAAAUUUUGCUGAAAUGCAAGAAGCCUACCGGCCUGUAUCUGGUAAGAUCCACUAAAUAGCUAAAAAUAUAAUCAGUAAAAGUAAGUCAGCAUAAAAGCUGGUAACCUUUGGCACUGAUAGGAAUGGUCCCUGAACUUUGGGGAACCAAAGGGAGGAACUACACACAACACUGAACAGGUUUAUCCGGCGUCUGCAACCGGUUGGUAACCGCAGGGUAUACCACAAACCUGGAAGUCGCCAAGAGAGCCUAGGUUGGCAGUUCUGGGAGUGAGAUAAUCCUUAUUAAUAUAUAGAGAGUAAGUGUCAUAAUCCACUAACCUAUAGGAUAAGGGUACCCAUACAUUUCUUAGGGUACAGAAAUAAGAUUUGGGUAUAGAUCCUAUAAAAUAUCUUGUAAGGAAGAGAGCUUUAGCUCUUUCUUUUCUUUGUUCUAUAUUCUAUAGACUAUCUUCUAUCAUGCUAUCAGCUCAGCUUGUGUAGCAUAGUAUAACUACUCAACAUUCCUAACUAUUGGGGAAGCCAGCACCAUCGUGUUAUCGGGCAUGCAAGGAGUAAGGCUGGUCCUUCACCUCCUAUUAUCGGGUCCUCAAGGAAGGGUGUGAGUAUGUUAAGUUAAGGUACUUAUAAUAGGAAGGUUACACCAGGAGUUUUAGAAUUUUUUAACUGUUUUGCAGUUAUAAAUUUCAUAGCAUUUAUUAUUCUUUUGUUAAUCUCAAUAAAGUUUUUUAUCACUUUGGUAUUGUCCUCAGUGUAAGUGUUUUUGCCAAGUACCCCGAGAGUCCUCUCCCGAUAUAGAACUCUCUGAGUUCUCGGACCCUGUAGUCUGAAUUGGACAAGAACCUAUAAAUCUUCUGGUCGGAUGCGAUCAGUGGCGAGCCAUAACAACUAACCCAUAACAUUCAGGUCAAUAUAGUUUUCCCCCCCUCCCGCCCCCUUUCUACUGAAAAGGCAGGGAACCAAGUAAUCAUCUGAUAUGUAAUCUGCUCGGUAACAGCACGGCAUAUAAGGGCUAGCACAUCAGAAGGACGGAGCUGCCCAUCCGAGUGGCAGAGUGCUGGACCACAGCAGUGUGUUCUACUCAGGAGUUUAGGCCAGAGCACCGUGCCUUGGUGUCGUGGGAGGGUUUAACACAAUUGCAUGCAAGGGUGAGUGUCAGAGGGUCCGCACAGGUUUCUGCCUUCUUGCCCUGUGCCCUGUGCUGAGGCUGGUAAAAUAAGAGUUCUCACGCCUUCUUCUGGUGUUUCAUCCUUGUGCUUUAUUUUACAGUGCCACCGUGCAGUCCCCUUUAUCCCCCAACAGUUAUCCCCUUUACAACCCGUUCCAGGGUCUCUUGGCCCUUGAGGCUUCCUUCCUGUGGUGAGGAGACAGAGCUGUAGCCUCCUGUCCCCUCCCAGGCUAGCCUCCUAACUGAGUUUUGUUCAGGGCUUUUAUAGCCCGCCCAGACUUCAGCCCAGCUAACGCUGAUUAGGUCAGUCUAUUGCAGUGAGCCAGCCCUUGUUAGGGCCCACAGCUGGGCUCUCUGCUGGCUGCUUUGAGCCUCUGCUCCUGGCCUCUCUGCCCGAAAGCAGAGCUUAGCCAGCAUUUUAGCAGGGCAUUCAAGGGGUUUCACCCCUGCCCUGCCACAGUGAGCUUCUAGCUCCCACCCUCUCACCUGGAUCUUACUCGCACCCAUGAUGCCGCAGAGAAGGAGAAAGAAGAAUUACCAGCAUCAAGCAGAGUUACCAUCUACCUGUUGUCUGAGGUCCACUCCUCACUCUGCUGAGUCACCUGGUCGGUUCCGGAUCCAAUCUGCAUCGUGAGGUUGUGAGGUUCCAGAUGCAAGCUGCAAGAAAUGGCAGAGACCUUUUAAAGUCCUCUGUACCCUUUACCUGGGACCCGUCUUGGAAAGGGAGUAAACCCUUUUUGGUCACAGUCAGUAUAGUUAUAAUGUCACCUUUACCUAUUUACCUUGCUUACCUGUGUUGGGAGUCCUUUAUAGCAUACCCCAUUUACUUACCUUGUUUGACUGUUGUUGGUCUAAUAAACAUACUUGCGUUUUACUCCUACGCUCCCUUGUUGGUUUUUAUUUCAGGCAAUCUUAAACCCCAAUGAUAGAUGCAGGGAGACAAAUCUCUUGACUGGUCUCCCGCCAUCCUGAAACCAGUCAACACUUUGACAUUGCUGCCAAGGUUUGUCAGGGGAUCAUGCUGCAUAGAACAGCUAUUCCCACACCAGGCUCUUUCACUCCAGUUCGCAACCUGAAACCCCAAGUGUCCAAAGCACGUGGCAUUCACAUGGAGAAGCUUCUGCAGCGUGGAAGACUGCUGUUAUGAUGAACUGUAGAAUCAACUCCCUUCCAGCAAAUUUUUGGCUCAUUGCAGCAGGUGUAUGCUACUUUCAUGUCUUCCAUACCUACAGGUAGAAGCCAAUUAGACCCUUAAUUUUUACACUGAUUAGCUUGUUACCUGCAAAAAUAAAACUUGAAUAAGUUCAUAUUUAUCUUUAUAGUUGCCAAGGGAAUAAUGAAGAAUAUUUUAAGCCUCUCCAAGAGUUAAGCUCUGUAUCCUACAAUUGGUUUUCUCCUUUAGGUUAUUGGUUCAAAUUCAAUUCAGGUUGACAGUGAGUCACAGUUGUUGAUGGCCUAGAUGAAAUGACUUGGUUUCUCAGUAUAGUUCUAGUGGACAGAUGCUGAUAACACAAAAGCCAGCAUAACAAAUGGCACUAACUGGUAUCCGUCUUGGCAGUCUAAACAGAGGGAAUUGCAUGAGAAUAGAGAAUGAACCAACUGCCCCUGCAGGUUUGCUCCUCCAGGUCAGAUUUAAGGCAUGGUUGGUGGUGGGUAGAAGCUUGCUCUGCAACUGGUCAUGCUAUGCCUAUUCCUUGUGGAUUUCAUUCCCUAGGGCUAUCAAAUCUAAAAACACCUUACUGGAAAAACAACAUGAAAAUCACCAGUGACAUCAACCAACGAUCUUUGGGGGUUUUCAAGUAGCCAAGUAAAUUGUUGAGCUGUCUCUAAGGUUGAUGAGAUAUAACCUCAUUUAUAUAACCAAUAAAUUAUACAGUGGUUGACAGUCUGAGCCUAUGAAAAUGUUUUUUUGCACCAACUACUUAAGAAUAGCUACCAGAUCUUUGCUAUGGUGUAGAAUCCUGAACAGCCUUUGGCAGGUGUGCUGCGGGUGCCCCUGAGUGCUAGGUGGUGCCAAAUUCUUACAACCUUUGGGGAUGAAGGAAUUCACCCAGGAAACACUCCAUGGCACAGAUCAAUUCCAACACCUUUAUUAGCAUGGACUGAAGUCCAUUGUAAUUGAAGAAAACAGUCAAUGGGAGUAUGAUAGAAAUCCAAUAUGCCUAAAAGGAACUCUUCUUCGUCAGUCACAAACGAUCUUGCUGCCCCUCCAGCUGGCUCCUAGACUAAGGUAUCUCCUUCCCUUUCUGUAGCAGCUAAUUCUUGUGUGUGGUACAGGCUCACAGGGCCACACACUCAGACUGCUCCUUGGGCCUGUCCCCCCAGUCCCUAGCUCAGGCUCUGUUUGGUUUUGUUGUCCCUGCAGCAGGAGCAUGUGCUUUCUCCAGUUGUGUCCCCCUUCUCCAAUUGCAGGACUGCUGAAAGGAGAGGUGGGAUUUCUUGCCAGGUCUGCAGAUAACCAGGGCUCUACAUUGGUUGGAGAGGCUAACUUCUGUAUAAAGCUCAUCAGAGGUCCAGGGAGAUGGCCAGCCUUCAUAGCAUUGCUGCUGAUCUGUUGAGGGGGGUGGUGUAUGUAGCAGAAGGAAGGAAGAUUUAAUCAGCUUUUUGGAAGACCUCAAGAGAAGUGCCUCAGUUGGAAAUUUUGAAAUACUGCAUCUGCUGUAGUGACAGACCCUUCCUUGGAACAGAUCUGAAAAUCAGUCAUGUCUUUGUCUAGGAGUUCUGCGCCUCUUCUGGAGGAGUCCCCUGAUGUGAGAGGGGAAUGGCUGAAUGUGUGUAAAAGUUCCAAGGGACAGAAACUUAGUGAUCCACAGCGUCCAUAUGAUGUUCAAAGCUGUCGAGCAACCUUGGGGAAAGGAUGGAAAUUUAACUCUUAUUUGUCUAGCCUGAGUUUUGAAACUGUGAUUUUAGAUAUCAAGAAACUUGAUAUACACUAGGUCUGUGCACUCUUUGGCAGAGCAUGUUGCAGCGUGCUGCUCUCUCUGAUACAACCCUGCACACUUUUAAUAUUAGCUCGGCAUUAGGAAUCUGUUUUCUUAAGUACUACAGUGAUAGGCACAUUCAGCUACCACUCUUAUGGAUGUGCUAUGAGAAUCCAGACGGACAGCUAGAAGUAAUCUAGGCCCAAGAUUUAAGUGUUAGGUUGGGCCCCCAGACAGGUACCCCAGAACUGGAAAAUUUGAAAAAUUUGGCCACAACUUCCACUUUUGUUUGGUCACAUUUGUAAAAUUAAAUGAAUCCAUUGCCUCAACCCAAUGAUUAUUUAUCUUUAGCCAUCCGUGUUAUUUAAAAUAUGAAUACAAAUAUCUUCUGCCCCGUACAGUAGCUCCUGCAACUGCAUUUAAGAAAUGCUGGUUUCAUACAUUUGUUAAAGCUUUUUCCCAGCCUCAGCUGCAUCAGUACAUGCAGUUAGGGUUGCAAAUGAUAAAACCCCAUAGUUGCUCAUAGACUGAACACUAUCUAUGCACAUUAAAGCCAAUAAUACCAGCCUAAGUGGCAUUCAGUACAAAUAAGGCUUAGAUUCAGCGAGACUCUAACUCAGUACUGCUAUGUGCCAGAACAGAGGUCAUUUAAUUUCAUGUUAUGUUGCAUAGUUUUGAAGUGACAUGUGUUGAAUUAGUUUUUCCCACUAAAUGAACUAUAACAAGUAUUGCACUAAUUGGCUCUAGUGAAAUGCCAGCAAAAGAGAGAUGAAAUCUUUCCAAAAUAAUAUUCUACUAGAGAAAUAAGUACAACAAAGAUUAGUGCCUCUGUUGUCAAGCUUAUGUAAUUACAAAAAUAGGGAUUUUGGCCCUUCUCAAUGACAGCUUGCAGAGGCAUCACUGUUUUAUAUAUGAAAUGUCCAUCUCUGUAGUCUUUAAAUGUCUGAAAAAAUGGGCUCAAGAGCGUGUGUGAUCGCAGUAGCUUAUCUUCUAGACCUAAAUCUUUGUUUCCUGCGAUUCUCAGUGAGGCCAUAGGCCUUGACCGGUUCUCUCCCACCUUAGAGCUCUUGUCUCCUAUCCAAAAUCCAGACUUUGGAGCACAUCCAUACUGGCUCUGAGACGGGUGCAAGGACAAAGGAGAGGCGGCUUGCAUGCACUCAAUACUGGUGCUGUCAGGGGCUGGUUUGGGCCCUUAACUUGUUGCUCUGGCUGCCUAUGGGCCCUGCAUAGCUAAGCGAUAACUUGGGCACAGGGACUCUCUGGGAAUACAUUGACAUGCCCUUUCCCCGUUCCCCCCUGAACCACUUUGGAAUGUCCUUGACAGGGUGAGCACAGAGUAAGCCGACUGUGGUUGGCACAGAAGCUCCUUGUGGUAUUUUUUCAUGCAGACUCUUAUACUGGGAAUAGUCAUCUACUUCUCAUGUGCCAAACCAUCCCCCUUUCCCCAUUUAAACCCCUGCUUGGCCUGGCACUGUUUGCCCCAGAACUUCAGCCUGAUCUUUUCACAGAUCCCUUUUAUAUCUUAUGCUGAGAGCUCCUUGUCUUUGUAGAUGCUUGUAAAGCAUUGUGCAAAUCUGCAACCCAAUUGUAUUCUCUAGGAAAGAAAUGGGAAUUUUGCUUUUGACUUCAAUGUGGGGAGAGGGCAGUAGGAUGGGGCACUAUAAUUCAUUAUUUAUAUUCUGCAUGAAAUCAAAACCCUUGGUGAGACAUGACCUGUGUGCUUCUUUGAUGCCCUGCAUAAGCUUUGCCUGCUAAAAAUUAAUGAUCACUUAGGCCAAUUGCAGGCCAAAUCCUGUUGUCUCUAUUUUGGCAAUACUGCCAGUGACAUCAACUAGGCAAAUCUCCUUUUGAAUGGAGAGAGAGAAAAAUCAGAAGAAUGGAUCUGAUCUACAAUACUCUUCCCUGCUGUUGCCCCUGAUAGUCAGACUUUUUGAAGCCCUAGAAAAAGGAGACAAUUAGAGUUGGUUUGCAGGCACAAAUUGGCUUAUCCUGCAGUCACCCACUAAAGAUAACCAGAAGUGAGACUGGUUCAUUUCCUUUGGAGUCUAGCUUUUCUGGAUGGCUAACUAUACUGGAUGGCAUCACCUGUAUUGCAUGCCACUCCCACUUAACUACACACAUUGCACAAGGAUACUUCUGUGCAUACAGGUGGUAAAUAUUUUAACACUUAGCUGAUCUAUUGCCUGUUUGGGUAUAACAUUACUUAACCAAGGACAUCUAAACUUAUGUAAACACAUUUUUAAAAAAGUGGGGGAGGGCAGAAAGAGGCCAGAUGCUUGCUAGCUUAAAUGACACAAUGAAAUAGAUUGCAUUAUACAAUCUACAGCCCAGCAUCUCCCACAAUGCUGGAGAUGUCUGGCUACUCCCCUCCACUCUGCAGCUCAUAGGAUUGGCUCUGCACCCUUUGCUCCUGCUUGCCACUAGAUUCUUUGCCUCUGCGGCAGUGGGUCAGUUGGUGGUUACACUGCUCCUGUGCCUUUUAUUUCUUCCCUUGUGGUUUUUUUCCUUUUUCUUUCAGGCUGUGGUAAAUAGCUUUUUCUGUUGCAGGCGUCUUUCCUCUGUCCUGGCAUGGUCUUAAGCAGCCUGGUGAUUUUAUCUACUCAGCAACUCCCUGCUGGCACCUCUGCCUCUAUAUAGGCAGGGCAGAGCAGUCAAGAAAGCAACAGGUCAAAUCCAAGCAGUGCUCCAUUUGUGAGGCAGCCUUCCUGGCCUCAGCAGACAGCGAGUUGUGCCCAGCUUUCACCCAUCCAGCCAAACCUAACUCUGUUACGUCUCAGGGCUAUGUGGAGUCCCCUCCCCACCAAAGCAGCUGUGAUUCCACCAUGGGAAAAAUGGAUCAGGAAGCCCAGAGCAGAGUAGGGACAGGUUCUAAAGACAAGAAAGGCUCUAGCCAGCUCGGCUCAGGGGUAGGUCCCAAGGUACCCCUGGGAGACCAAACUGGGGAGACUUGUGGGGCCACAAAUCCUGCCAUCCCCAUGUUAAAGUCAGUCCUGAGUGCACUGGGAAAAGAAUCCUAGUUUACAGGUUCCCUCCUUUUUGGAGAAAAACUAGACAAGGUGGUGGCUGACAAAGCAGCAAAAUCUAAGCACUCCCUCCCAUCAUCACUAAGUGCUCUGAGGAGGGAAUACAGACCUGCCUUCAGACAGAGGUGCUCCUUUCAGCCCUUGUCCUCACAGAGGUACCAGCAAAGGGAGAACAGAUUCUCCAAAGGAGGUGAGGUUCAGGCAGAAAUCCCCCGGGGAGCUGUCUUCCUCCUCCCCACUGUAAUCCACUUUAUGACAAAGACCACAGAAGCUUCCACCCAGAACUAAAGCUAGGAGGCAGAAUUUCCCAUUUCCUGGAGGAAUGGUUUGCAUCAAUCAUGAACAAGUGAGGUAAGGGAGAUAGUGAGCCAGGGAUAAUUCCAUGAGCUGUAGUGUGACACUGUACCUCAAAAUAGCACCCUGGAACCCCCACAUUCACCAGUGCGAUAUGAUUAUAUGUUUUGUACAAUGCAUGCACCCCAAUAUUCAUCAUUAUCAUGUAAUUAGGGAUAUGUUUUGUACACAGUAUGCCUUGUGAGGUAUCAUUCUAAAAGUCUUGAUCUACUGGACAUUAAGAUCUCAUUGAAUUGUAUGUGUUAUUGUCGUAGGUGAAGUUAUGAAGUUUGGCUAUGUACGUAUUACAGAAACAUGUUGUGAGGUUGAAAACACCCACAAGCAGCCUUUCAGGUACAACAGUAAAAAGGCCAAACAAUGUUAAUGGUUUA